ACGAACGCUGGCGGCGUGCUUAACACAUGCAAGUCGAGCGACGCUCUUCCUUCGGGGAGAUGACGGAGCGGCGAACGGGUGAGUAACACGUGGGCAACCUGCCCCUAGCUCUGGGACAACACCGGGAAACCGGUGCUAAUACCGGAUACGACAUCGAGCGGCAUCUCUCGAUGUGGAAAGUUUUUUCGGCUAGGGAUGGGCCCGCGGCCUAUCAGCUUGUUGGUGGGGUAAUGGCCCACCAAGGCGACGACGGGUAGCCGGCCUGAGAGGGCGACCGGCCACACUGGGACUGAGACACGGCCCAGACUCCUACGGGAGGCAGCAGUGGGGAAUAUUGCGCAAUGGGCGAAAGCCUGACGCAGCGACGCCGCGUGAGGGAUGACGGCCUUCGGGGUGUAAACCUCUUUCAGCAGGGACGAAUUCAGACGGUACCUGCAGAAGAAGCACCGGCCAACUACGUG
rnacentral:rRNA from 1 species